GCCUUUUUGGGUAGGCAUCAGCAUCUAUACAGUGAAACUGCGAAUGGCUCAUUAAAUCAGUUAUCGUUUAUUUGAUAGUACUUUACUACUUGGAUAACCGUGGUAAUUCUAGAGCUAAUACAUGCUAAAAAUCCCGACCUCCGGAAGGGAUGUAUUUAUUAGAUAAAAAACCAAUGCCUUCGGGCUCCUUGGUGAUUCAUGAUAACUUAACGAAUCGCAUGGCCUUGCGCCGGCGAUGGUUCAUUCAAAUUUCUGCCCUAUCAACUUUCGAUGGUAGGAUAGUGGCCUACCAUGGUUUCAACGGGUAACGGGGAAUUAGGGUUCGAUUCCGGAGAGGGAGCCUGAGAAACGGCUACCACAUCCAAGGAAGGCAGCAGGCGCGCAAAUUACCCAAUCCCAAUUCGGGGAGGUAGUGACAAUAAAUACUGAUACAGGGCUCUUUUGGGUCUUGUAAUUGGAAUGAGUACAAUUUAAAUCCCUUAACGAGGAACAAUUGGAGGGCAAGUCUGGCCCCC
rnacentral:rRNA from 1 species